rnacentral:lncRNA from 1 species
CACACCCUAGCGACCGACUGCACGUGCAGAGUUUGUACACGACCCCACAAGCACACACACCAGGCAGUUGCGCUUGGAUACCCUCGUUCUGGCCCGAGGCAACCCUCCACCCUAGAUCCUCUAGCAAUGGACUUCGUACAGAUAAACCACGGAAAAAACUGGAAUACCUCGCCCCACCUCUUUUUUCCUAUUUAAUUCGCUAAAGCAGCUCCUGGAGUAACCAAAGAGAGUAGAAACUAAGGCGUGGCCACUUCAGUUGGGUUUUUUCCCACCUCAAAACCUUUAUUUUCAGUUUUUAAAAGCCACCUUAGCCCGCCAUAUUGGAACUGGCACGGUGUCUAAAGACUCCUUCCCCGCUGCUGUAGCGCUUCCAAGAAAACACAAGUAUUGACUGGGCUGGGGACCUGUGUCCGGCCACAGAAAACCAAUCGCUUCCCACCCCUCAAAUGUUCUCCCUUUCCCAGCCUAAUCCCGUUCAGCCGCUCCAAGAGGUAGGUGGGUUUGGAGUGACCUGAUUGGAGGAGGAGAGACCGGGAAAGAAGGAGGAAGAACAUGGAAGAGAGGAGGAGGAAGCCGCCAUUAGGGGAGAGGAACCAUGAGCACAUGGCCAGGAGAAACUUUGCUGUUAAUCUACCUCUUGACUACCUCGAGUACUAAUAAAUCCCCCAGAAUGGGACAGUGUUUCUCUUAGAACCAAACACCAAGUUUCUUAUUCGCUCAACCACUAAGAAAUAGCUCACCAGUGAAUAGGCCUCUCCCAUAACCCCAGGCAAUGAAAAGACUCAAUAGAAUAGUUCUGCCCUUCAUGGGCAAGGCUGGGGUAAAGGGAUGCCUUUGGUGGCUUAAGAGUCAUAAGCAGUAUGAAGAGCAUACGCACUGUGAUGGUUAAUAUUCACUACCAAUCUAGAUCUAGAGUCACCUAGGGGACAAGCGUGCUUCUUGGGAGGUGGUUCUAGACUGGAUUAACUGAGGAAGGGAAACUGAGCCCCUAACUGUGGAUGGCACCAUGCUUUGGGCUGUAGUCAUGGAAUGACUCAAAGGAGAGAGUAUGCUGAGCUCCAGCUGUCACCUCUCUGCUCCCCAACUACAGAUGGAGCAGGACCAGCAGCUGUAUGCUCUGCCUGUCUUAACUUCUCCGCCAUAGCGGAUGGCAUUGUAAAACUACAGACUGAAUUAAAGCCUUGCCUCCUCACCUUGCCUUUGUCAGGUCAUUGUUCACAGCAACAAGACAGGGAACAAAUGGAGGUGCAAAGCCUUCUCGUGCCCCUCUCAGAACUUGGACUCUUAAACAAGGAGGACUGAGAAGGAAGCUGUUUAGACCAUGCCAUAUUUCUUAGGCCCCAAGAAUCUUACAGAUGGACAGAUCUUCUCUUCAAAUCCUGCCGUUGCAGCCCAGAGAAAGAGACAGCCACUGGAGCAACACAUCCGCCUGAGGGAAAAUUCAGAAGACAAAUACUCCCUUCAACAAACAAGUCAGAUGACCCGUAAGUGAGGUGAACUCCAAGGCUAAGGUGGAUCCAGGGGCAGGACAAACUGUUCGCACGCCUAGCAUCUGUGGACUCUACCCUCCAAGCGCUUCCCCGGUCUUGUCGCGAGAACCAGAACCGUCGCUUUCAGGAACUCUCCAUACUACAGGGUGCUUCUGAACGUGUACAACACUAGUAACGGAAGAGGUCAAAGUUCAGAAAGAGAGGAAUUUCCCAAAUGAUCCAAAUCCAAGCUUAGAGAAGCCAAAGUCAUAGCCACUGGGCAGGACCUCUCUUGGCAAGUCAUCUAUUACUGGAAUUAUUAUUCAGAAACAGAUGUUAAUAAAUUUUUUAAUGUG